UUCGACUAAAGGAAGAUGGUGACGUUGGUUGUGGCAUGAAGAGAAAUGACGACGAAGAUUGGUUGAUUUAGGGUUCUUCAGUUCGGGUAAUGUGAUGGUUGAUUUAGGGAUUCUGAAACCGUAAAAUGGAUUGUUUUUCAUGAUGACAAUCAUGGGAAGGCUUUGGGGAUUGUUCACAAUGAUGUGGGAGUUAUUUUGUUCAGACAAAUUGUUCUAAGUUAAUGGAGGCAAGAGUUACGUAUAUCACGGAUGAAGGCAUCUGGUCUCUUAACAUCAAAGGUUGAUUAGUAUCUGAUUCUUGCUAUCGUUCUUCGUGUGGUAUUUGUUACAGAUCUGGAAAAUGGGACAUAAUGCCCUAGCCACUGCCUCCAGCAAUGAAGGCUAGGGUUCCGACGAGUUGAUCUAGAGCCAGUUCAGUUGACAGGUUAAAGAAUAACUGCUAUCGCUACCACCUCCAUCGUUACAGGAAUGAAUGAGGCUUAGCCUUUUAUGUGGUUUGUCACUGCCUCACCCAAGGUGCGCCUCAAAUCGCCUUUUAAAACCAUUAAUGCAGAACUGUGAAUUGAAUUGUGGAGAUUAAAAUCGAAUCCAAACCAAUUAUUCAUCACAACACGAGUAGUAAAUUCGAUCCCAUUAAAAAACAAGCGUGGGGAUCUAGAGGAAUAUUCAGUACACGAGGUCAGACAAGUACUUUCAAGGCACUUGGAUACAACACAAUAGCAAACCGACACG
rnacentral:lncRNA from 1 species